rnacentral:rRNA from 1 species
UGGGGUAAAGGCCCACCAAGGCGACGAUCGGUAGCCGACCUGAGAGGGUGACCGGCCACAUUGGGACUGAGACACGGCCCAAACUCCUACGGGAGGCAGCAGUGGGGGAUAUUGCACAAUGGGGGGAACCCUGAUGCAGCGACGCCGCGUGAGUGAAGAAGUAUCUCGGUAUGUAAAGCUCUAUCAGCAGGGAAGAAGCAAGACGGUACAUGACUAAGAAGCCCCGGCUAACUACGUGCCAGCAGCCGCGGUAAUACGUAGGGGGCGAGCGUUAUCCGGAUUUACUGGGUGUAAAGGGAGCGUAGACGGCAUGGCAAGUCUGGAGUGAAAGCCCGGGGCCCAACCCCGGGACUGCUCUGGAAACUGCCAUGCUAGAGUGCUGGAGAGGUAAGUGGAAUUCCUAGUGUAGCGGUGAAAUGCAUAGAUAUUAGGAGGAACACCAGUGGCGAAGGCGGCUUACUGGACAGUGACUGACGUUGAGGCUCGAAAGCGUGGGGAGCAAACAGGAUUAGAUACCCUGGUAGUCCACGCCGUAAACGAUGGAUACUAGGUGUCGGUGGGCAAAGCCCAUCGGUGCCGCCGCAAACGCAAUAAGUAUCCCACCUGGGGAGUACGUUCGCAAGAAUGAAACUCAAAGGAAUUGACGGGGACCCGCACAAGCGGUGGAGCAUGUGGUUUAAUCCGAAGCAACGCGAAGAACCUUACCAAGUCUUGACAUCCCCCUGGCCGGUCCGUAACGGGGCCUUUCCUACGGGACAGGGGAGACAGGUGGUGCAUGGUUGUCGUCAGCUCGUGUCGUGAGAUGUUGGGUUAAGUCCCGCAACGAGCGCAACCCUUAUCCUCAGUAGCCAGCAGGUAGAGCUGGGCACUCUGUGGAGACUGCCAGGGACAACCUGGAGGAAGGUGGGGAUGACGUCAAAUCAUCAUGCCCCUUAUGAUUUGGGCUACACACGUGCUACAAUGGCGUAGACAGAGGGAAGCGAGAGGGAGACCUGGAGCGAACCCCAAAAAAGACGUCCCAGUUCGGACUGUGGUCUGCAACCCGACCACACGAAGCUGGAAUCGCUAGUAAUCGCGG